rnacentral:rRNA from 1 species
GUGGGGAAUAUUGGACAAUGGGCGAAAGCCUGAUCCAGUCAUGCCGCGUGUGUGAAGAAGGUCUUCGGAUUGUAAAGCACUUUAAGUUGGGAGGAAGGGCAGUAAGUUAAUACCUUGCUGUUUUGACGUUACCGACAGAAUAAGCACCGGCUAACUUCGUGCCAGCAGCCGCGGUAAUACGAAGGGUGCAAGCGUUAAUCGGAAUUACUGGGCGUAAAGCGCGCGUAGGUGGUUUUGUAAGUUGGAGGUGAAAUCCCCGGGCUCAACCUGGGAACUGCCUCCAAAACUGCAUGACUAGAGUACGGUAGAGGGUAGUGGAAUUUCCUGUGUAGCGGUGAAAUGCGUAGAUAUAGGAAGGAACACCAGUGGCGAAGGCGACUACCUGGACUGAUACUGACACUGAGGUGCGAAAGCGUGGGGAGCAAACAGGAUUAGAAACCCUUGUAGUCC